ACAGCGAUAUCAUAUUGAAACACCAGUUCUCAUACAGUCACUGAAGUUAAGCAAUAUUGACCCUGAUCAGUAGUUAGAUGGGUGACUGCUUGAGAAUACCAAGCGCUGUAAG